rnacentral:lncRNA from 1 species
UUAAGAAGCUAUAUUUUUAAUUUCUUUAAUUAAACUUUUAGAUUUACCAGAAACGUAUAAUAAUAUUAAGAAACAACAUAAUUACGAGACAUUCAACAUUGAAUAUACAUAAAAUAUUAUAGCGGCAACGUCACUCUCUAUCAAGUUCAAGAAGUUGUAAUCAGAUGGCAAAUGAAUGUGCAAAUUCUCGGAAUCAAAGGAGGCGCUGACGCACUAUAAAAAGCCGAAUUUCCGAACCCGAAUAAUUCAUUCCGGCGCAAGACGCCGAGACGCGAAGGAGCUCUAACCUUCGCAUAAAGCGCCAGUCGCCAAAGCGCUAGACGCUGAAAACCUUUUGUAGGCGUUAAUCGCCGUUCUCCAAAAGCGACGAAUUCUGUCCAUCACCACGGCGAGCAAGAAUUCUAUCUCCUGGAGAAGGCGUUGUCCGACAGUUCUUUCGGAAGCGCUAAAUACCAAGAGGGUAUACCAGCGGAUUCCACCACACACGUAUACAAAGAAGAGGAGGCUGCAAUCACCAGAACGAGAAAGUGAGGUACCACCUAGGCCUACCACACCGGAGCUAUCAGGCCUGUUGGAAAUUCCGAUUCUGAUCUCACCGGUGAAGGACUCGCCUCAACGAAGUACCAGGUUGCAGACGCAUCUACCCCAGAUUGCAGAAGCUGCCACGCAGACGAUAUUGGAUUGUGAGACACCAAGGACAUCUCGGGCUACACAAACUAAAAAGCGAGGAGGAAGAAGACUGUUUAAUAAUUCAAAUAUUAAAUGUUGUUAUAAAAAAUAAAAAAUGUAUUUAGAAAGUUAAAAGGAAUAAAAAGAGAAAAACUCGAAAAAGAAAAAUAACCUAUACGAUCACUCCAUUGCGUCCAAAGCUGCGAGAACUCUCCCGCAUAUUGAUAUGUUGUUUCUAUCUCUUUUUUCCUUUUUUCUCUUUCUGUAUGUGUAUGUAUGUGUGUGUGUAUGAAAUUAAUAGAUAAAACAAAAUUAAUAGGCAAAACACUCACACCUGUUAAAAAACAUAGAUGAGGCAAAACUGAAGUUAUCAAAUAAACGUCCAAGUGAAGAUUCUCUGAAUAAUGUUCCAAACAAAUGUCAAAUAUUGGAGAGAUGGGGCUCUGGGAGCUUAGCAGUUACUCAAAAAGCAUUAGAUAAAGCGAUACUGCGCUUCAUUAUUGAAGAUAUUCAACCUCUUGCCAUUGUAGACAAUCCAGCAUUCAUUAAUUCGGUUAGAAUUGGACUUCCUUCGCAUAUCCGUAUAAUGUGCAGAAAAACAUUAAGAAAUAACGUUUGUGAAAUCUAUCAUAAAAUGAAGGCUACUUUUGAAAAAAAUUGACUGAAGUAGAACUAGUUGCGAUGACAGCAGAUCUAUAGAGCAAAGCAAAAAGGAGUUAUUUUGGAAUAACUAUUCAUUGGGUGAAUCCCGUAACUUUCGAGAGAGAGUCGGCUGCAUUGGCUUGCUGUAGGAUGAAAGGCAAACAUACAUACAAUGUUUUAGCUCGAGAAAUUAACUCAGUCUUUCUCGAAUAUCACAUCCAAAAUAAAGUAUGCUGUACAACUACCGACAAUGGAUCCAACUUUAUUAAAGCUUUCCGGUGUUUUGAAAAGGACGAGGAUGAAACAUCUGUAGAAUUUCACGAUUUAAGUGCUAUUUUAAUUACAGACUAUAUAGAAGAUACGAAUACAGAAAAUUUACUUAUUCUUCCGCCACAUCAUAGAUGUGCCAGUCACACUUUAAAUCUUGUCGCGGUGAAAGAUUCCGAGAAAGCUAUAGAUAGUGAUGUUUUAUACAAGAAACUAUACAGAUUGACAUUUGCCAAAUUAACCAAAUUAUGGAAUAAAUAGAAUCAAUCUACACAAGUAGCUGAUAAAAUAAAAGAAAUUUGCGGUGUCUACUUAAAAACUCCUGUUAUUACAAGAUGGAACUCCACUUUUGAUUCCAUACUGCAAAUAAUAACACUUUUGAAAAAUGAUCCCGAAAUAAUUAACAAAUGUCUCGAUUACUGUAAUUUGCAAAGACUGACAGAAAAUGAAAUUAAAUUCAUAGAAGAAUAUUGUCAGGUAAUGAAACCUGUAGCGCAAGCCUUAGAUAUAUUGCAAAGUGAGACAGGAAUGUAUAUGGGAUAUUUAUUACUGGUCUUGAAAACUUUAAAAGAAAAAUUAGAAACACUCAACAAAAGUGGAUUUACGCAUUGCCAAUCACUAAUCGCAGCAGUUCAACAAGGUUUAGAUAAAAGGUAAUAGAUAAUUUGUUAAUUUAAUUAACAUGUGGUUAUUAAUUUUGCUUUUAAAUAAAGAACAACUUUAUUCAUGGAUUCUGAACAUACUCUUAGAUUUUCCACAUUAUUUGAAAAAAAAAGAGCUUAUUAUUGCAAGUUGUUUGCAUCCAAAAUUUAAAUUAAAUUGGAUAAAUGGAGAAGAAAGGAAACUCGCUAAAAAUUACUUGGAAGACUUAUUAGGAAUCCGUUCUGCUGAGAAUUCCCCAAAUCUUAAUGAAAAACUCGAUAACUGCGAUGACUUUUUUACUUUUGACCAGCAAACAAAAGAAAUCGAGUCUACACAAGAAGAAUUGUAUCGAUUCUUAAAAUCGAGUAACUGCAAUAUUGGUAUGUUAAAUGAUUAUACUACAAUUAAAAAACAUUUUAUUAAAUACAAUACGGCACUUCCGAGUAGUGCAUCCGUUGAACGAAUGUUUAGCGUUGAUGGCUCUGUAAUAACGCCACAAAGAGGACAUCUUCACGAUGACAUAAUCGAGUAUCAAAUCCUUUUAAAAAUUAAUAAAAAUUUUUAUUAACAUUUUAGAUAUUAAAUCGUUUAACCGACUUUAAUCUUGAUGUUCGAUAAAUACAUAUAACAACCGUUUAUAAAGUGAGUUUGCUAGAUAUAAGUUUCACCUGCGUAUAGUUUUAUUUUCUGAAAGUAAUUUUAUGUAUGAAGCAAAAAAUAUUUUAUUUCUUCGAGUUGUAUGUCAGUUUGCAAAAUGGCGAGAAAUAAAUGAAAUUUCCAUUUUUGUUAGCGCGCGUAAGUACUCUUAUGUAUAUAAUGAGAUGUCUCGAUUAAAGAAAUCAACUCGACUCGAGAUUGCGUUUCGUGUUUCUUAAACAAGUGUUUCGAUUGAUCGCAAAUGAAACUAAUCACUAAUGCAACCUCGAUCAUUCUCGACACACCGCUUUUAUUACUAUUCUCUUCGAGAUAUUUGCGUCUAAUAACCUUCUUUAUAGUGUAACAUUAUUAGUACUUAUAAUGUAACAUUAAUGUAAUUAUAUAAAUAAUAAAUCAGUAUAUUUAGAAAGCAUA